rnacentral:rRNA from 1 species
AGAGUUUGAUCAUGGCUCAGGACGAACGCUGGCGGCGCGCCUAAUACAUGCAAGUCGAGCGAGAACCGGGGCUUCGGCCCCGGGGAGAGCGGCGAACGGGUGCGUAUCACGUGAGCAACCUGCCUCGGAGACCGGAAUAACUCGAGGAAACUCGGGCUAAUGCCGGAUGCCCUCGGUGGACCGCAUGGUCCGGCGAGGAAAUGGAUUCCGCUCCGAGAUGGGCUCGCGGCCUAUCAGCUUGUUGGUGGGGUAACGGCCUACCAAGGCGACGACGGGUAGCUGGUCUGAGAGGACGAUCAGCCACACUGGGACUGAGACACGGCCCAGACUCCUACGGGAGGCAGCAGUAGGGAAUCUUGCGCAAUGGGGGAAACCCUGACGCAGCGACGCCGCGUGCGGGAUGAAGGCCUUCGGGUCGUAAACCGCUUUCAGCAGGGACGAAAUUGACGGUACCUGCAGAAGAAGGCCCGGCCAACUACGUGCCAGCAGCCGCGGUGAUACGUAGGGGUCUAGCGUUGUCCGGAAUUAUUGGGCGUAAAGAGCUCGUAGGCGGUUCGGCAAGUCGGAUGUGAAAUCUCCACGCUUAACGUGGAGGGGCCAUUCGAAACUGCCGUGACUCGAGUCCGGUAGGGGAGUGCGGAAUUCCCGGUGUAGCGGUGAAAUGCGCAGAUAUCGGGAGGAACACCAGUGGCGAAGGCGGCACUCUGGGCCGGAACUGACGCUGAGGAGCGAAAGCGUGGGGAGCGAACAGGAUUAGAUACCCUGAUAGUCCACGCCGUAAACGUUGGGCACUAGGUGUGGGGCUCUAUCGACGGGUUCCGUGCCCGUAGCUAACGCAUUAAGUGCCCCGCCUGGGGAGUACGGCCGCAAGGCUAAAACUCAAGGGAAUUGACGG